GAUGAACGCUGACAGAAUGCUUAACACAUGCAAGUCUUUGGCGAAGCUGUGCUUGCACAGCCUAGCCAAGGCGGACGGGUGAGUAACGCGUAAGGAACUUGCCCUGCAGUCAGGGAUAACAGACGGAAACGACUGAUAAGACCUGGUAAAGUCAGGCGGACUCAUGUCCAGCCUGAUGAAAAGAGAUGCUGCAGGAGAGCCUUGCGUCCUAUUAGCUUGUUGGUGGGGUAACGGCCCACCAAGGCGAUGAUAGGUAGCCGGCCUGAGAGGGUGGACGGCCACAAGGGGAAUGAGAUACGGCCCUUACUCCUACGGGAGGCAGCAGUGGGGAAUAUUGGACAAUGGGGGCAACCCUGAUCCAGCAAUUCUGUGUGCACGAUGAAGGUUUUCGGAUUGUAAAGUGCUUUCAGCAGGGAAGAAAAAAUGACGGUACCUGCAGAAGAAGCGACGGCUAAAUACGUG
rnacentral:rRNA from 1 species